rnacentral:rRNA from 1 species
AUUGAACGCUGGCGGCAUGCCUUACACAUGCAAGUCGAACGGCAGCACGGGUGCUUGCACCUGGUGGCGAGUGGCGAACGGGUGAGUAAUACAUCGGAACAUGUCCUGUAGUGGGGGAUAGCCCGGCGAAAGCCGGAUUAAUACCGCAUACGAUCUACGGAUGAAAGCGGGGGACCUUCGGGCCUCGCGCUAUAGGGUUGGCCGAUGGCUGAUUAGCUAGUUGGUGGGGUAAAGGCCUACCAAGGCGAUGAUCAGUAGCUGGUCUGAGAGGACGACCAGCCAACCGGGGAUUGGACAAGGGCCCGAACCCCAAGGGGGGGCAGAGGGGGGGAAUUUUGGAAAAGGGGGAAAAGCCUGAUCCAGAAAUGCCGGGGGUGGGAAAAAGGCCUUGGGGUUGAAAAGCAUUUUUGUCCGGAAAAAAAUCCUUGGCCCUAAUACGGGCGGGGGAUGACGGUACCGGAAAAAAAAGCCCCGGCUAACUACGG